rnacentral:rRNA from 1 species
GAUGAACGCUGGCGGCGUGCCUAGUACAUGCCAGUAGAACGCUGAAGGAAGGAGCUUGCUCUUUCCGGAUGAGUUGCGAACGGGUGAGUAACGCGUAGGUAACCUGCCUGGUAGCGGGGGAUAACUAUUGGAAACGAUAGCUAAUACCGCAUAACAGUAGAUGUUGCAUGACAACUAUUUGAAAGGGGCAAUUGCUCCACUACCAGAUGGACCUGCGUUGUAUUAGCUAGUUGGUGGGGUAACGGCUCACCAAGGCGACGAUACAUAGCCGACCUGAGAGGGUGAUCGGCCACACUGGGACUGAGACACGGCCCAGACUCCUACGGGAGGCAGCAGUAGGGAAUCUUCGGCAAUGGACGGAAGUCUGACCGAGCAACGCCGCGUGAGUGAAGAAGGUUUUCGGAUCGUAAAGCUCUGUUGUAAGAGAAGAACGAGUGUGAGAGUGGAAAGUUCACACUGUGACGGUAUCUUACCAGAAAGGGACGGCUAACUACGUG